GGCCUCUACAGGACUGGUGCUGCCAGUAGAGAGAACCACUCGAUUGGGUUGUAUACCAGAGGGCAGGACUGUCAGCUAUGAAUGCACUGUCGAUGAUGAUGAAGGUGGUCGCUCAACAUUACGGCGAGGCAGUGCAUUCAACUGUCCCAGCAGCUCAUCUGUGAUCAACUUAGCUCAUUCUCUAUAUAUGAACCUAAUGGAGCGAGUGGAUCUUGUGGGGUGACCUAUCUGCCAUGAGUGUCGAGGUUAUUGGAGACAACUACACCUCAAGACUGACUCUAACAGCAACUGCUGAGCUGAAUGAAAAGACUAUUGAAUGUACUCGGGGUGGUAUAGUUGCGAUCGGAAAUGAUACCUUAAGAACUGGAGCCCCUCCCUAUCCCCCUCAAAGUGCCAUGGUAGAGAUUGUUACUAAGGGGUUACCUGCUGAACGUUACUGGAGAAGACUGGAUGUGUGAGUAUGAAUAUCAGUGCUGACACUACCAGUGUGAACUGUUCUGGUUGGAUUGUAAUGAAUCAGACCUGCUUCUUUGAAGUGAAGACUGUCUCUCAAGACUAUGGGUUUACCAGUGGCCCUGUGAAGGAAUCUGUUGUACUGAUGGGUAAGCAGCCUAUCAUUAUUACACAGUAGACUUCUGUAUAAUGCUACAAUUUGUAGUGCCACUUGCACCAACACAACUACAGGUGAUAUUUAGUGCACAACAAAUCGAGGUGGAGUUCUUGCAACCAAUUGUUCCCCCUCUUGGUGCCAACCUAAACUCUACACUGUGAUGUUGGUUGGAACUAAUGUCUCAAUGAACUUCACUGGUCUGACUUGUGAUCAAACCAGCAGAUCUUAUCUCAAUCUCACAUUCCAUGAUCUCACCAGUGGUAGCUACAUUUCAGUGUGUUUGCCUCUAACAUAUUUGGCUCUGGACCUCCUGAAUGCAAUCCAGAAGAGCUUGGUAGUAACCCCACUUCUCUGAAUAAUCAGGAAUGGUCUAUGUAUCUAACUGACUAUUUGCUACAGUGGUGUGUCUCCUGGCUCUGUUGCAACAUACAAUGCAAUGAUGGGUACAGAGCACUCUCCUUCCUCAACAGGACUUGCAUGUUUGGUGGACAAUGGAGUGAGCAGUGGCGUAGCCAGGAUUUUGGGAAGGGCAGGGCUCAAAUCCGUUGAGCAGGAGGCGCUGAAUAGCUUGGACAUCAUUCUAGUAACUACGCAUGCAGUACAGUGCAGAAUAGAUUGACAGAUCAAGGUGAUUCAAGCUGAGUUGGAGUUGAUGAAGCACAAAAGGGGGGGGCUCUAGCCCCGUCAGCCCCCCUCUGCCUACGCCACUGGACUGAGGGGGCAUUGGAGUGUGGAGAAACUA